rnacentral:rRNA from 1 species
CCUACGGGAGGCAGCAGUGGGGAAUAUUGGACAAUGGGCGAAAGCCUGAUCCAGCAAUGCCGCGUGAGUGAUGAAGGCCUUAGGGUUGUAAAGCUCUUUUACCAGGGAUGAUAAUGACAGUACCUGGAGAAUAAGCUCCGGCUAACUCCGUGCCAGCAGCCGCGGUAAUACGGAGGGAGCUAGCGUUGUUCGGAAUUACUGGGCGUAAAGAGUACGUAGGCGGUGAUUCAAGUCAGAGGUGAAAGCCUGGAGCUCAACUCCAGAACUGCCUUUGAAACUAGAUCGCUAGAAUCAUGGAGAGGUUAGUGGAAUUCCGAGUGUAGAGGUGAAAUUCGUAGAUAUUCGGAAGAACACCAGUGGCGAAGGCGACUAACUGGACAUGUAUUGACGCUGAGGUACGAAAGCGUGGGGAGCAAACAGGAUUAGAUACCCUGGUAGUCCACGCCGUAAACGAUGAUAACUAGCUGUUCGGGGUCUACGAUCCUGAGUGCGCNGACUACGACAUUAAGUUAGUCCGUCCGUCGGGUAGGUACGGUCGCGAGAAGUUAAACGUAACUAAUUAGAAGUUAGUUACGGCGUGAGACGNGCCGACGGACGACGACGAGGGAGGAGG